GCUGGGGCCAAUGGAGGCAGGAGCCACGGGCUUGGUGAGGAGUUUAAACCCAGAGAGGUACUUUCUCCUGAAACUAGAUUCACCCACUGCUUGUAUUUUCACAGACCUAAUUAUGGGCUUGCCACCCGGAUAACCCCAGUCCACGCAUGGCCUCCUCUGAAGCUCCCUACCACCUGGCCAGGUCUCUGCUAUGUUGAGCUCCAUCUCUCAGCAACCCACGUUGGGCACAGUCCUCUGUGUCUUAUGCAUUAACAAAUGUAACAUUCCUGACCAACAACCUUAUGAGGCAGACCGUUUUGUUACCAAUGCUGUCUUACGGAUGAAAGAUGGGAAGCACAGAGAGGCUUCUCUCUGGGGCCAACCUCCUCCUUGGUCUGCUGA
ensembl:lncRNA